rnacentral:lncRNA from 1 species
UAUGCUGGUGGCCACAUGUUCUAAUGACAAACCUGAGCAAUCCAUCUGAUGAAGUCACUGAAGAGGAAGAAAGAGGAGGAUUACUAAAGAGAGCGUGACUCUUUUUCCAGACAGUAGGUCCAACCAUGCGAACGACAGCGUCACUUGGCAAAGAACAUCCCUUCAGUCCUCGGAGACGAUGACACUGCAGGAACACCUCACCUCCUCACAGUUCCGGAAGCCUUAUAAGAAACCUGGCUGGACUCUAAGUUCACUAUACCUUUAAAAGCUUCCAGUGACUGCCUGCCCUAUUCAGGUAUAUUGAAAUCCUGAUACCCAGUAACUUGGAAGCAGAAGAAAGGCUCUGGGGAACAGAAAAAGAAAAGGAAAAUGAAAAAGAAAAGGAAAAGACCAUAUCCUGAAGACAGCGAUUUGUUUAGAAGUGUAAAUACAGACAGCAAACCAGUGGCUGACAGACGCUGAGAUUUUAAUGGCUGUCAUGAACAUAAAUGAUGUGAGUCAGAGGCAAGCUCAAGAUUUGCUAAGCCCAUAUCAGGGGUCACAAGGAUGCGAGUGGACAUAUGGAGAUGGGCAA